CGCAGCCGCGGUAAUUCCAGCUCCAAUAGCGUAUAUUAAAGUUGUUGCAGUUAAAAAGCUCGUAGUUGAAUUUCGGGAUCAGUACGCUGGUCGUGCCUUUGGUAUGUACUGGUGUCACUGAUUCCUCCCUUCUGAAGAACCGUUAUGCCAUUUAUUUGGUGUGGCGGGGAAUCAGGACUGUUACUUUGAAAAAAUUAGAGUGUUUAAAGCAGGCUCGCGCUUGAAUACAUUAGCAUGGAAUAAUGAAAUAGGACGUUUGAUCUUAUUUUGUUGGUUUCUAGGAUCGACGUAAUGAUUAAUAGGGAUAGUUGGGGGCAUUAGUAUUCAAUUGUCAGAGGUGAAAUUCUUGGAUUUAUUGAAGACUAACUACUGCGAAAGCAUUUGCCAAGGAUGUUUUCAUUAAUCAAGAACGAAAGUUAGGGGAUCGAAGACGAUCAGAUACCGUCGUAGUCUUAACCAUAAACUAUGCCGACUAGGGAUCGGAUGAUGUUAAUUUUU
rnacentral:rRNA from 1 species